GUUGAAGCACCGGUUCCUGUACAAUCAUCAAAUUUAAGAAACGUCAAGCUUGGUCAGUACUUAGAUGGGUGACCACAUGGGAAUACCAGGUGCUGUAAG